rnacentral:rRNA from 1 species
UGGGGAAUUUUGGACAAUGGGCGAAAGCCUGAUCCAGCAAUGCCGCGUGUGUGAAGAAGGCCUUCGGGUUGUAAAGCACUUUUGUCCGGAAAGAAAUGGCUCUGGUUAAUACCUGGGGUCGAUGACGGUACCGGAAGAAUAAGGACCGGCUAACUACGUGCCAGCAGCCGCGGUAAUACGUAGGGUCCAAGCGUUAAUCGGAAUUACUGGGCGUAAAGCGUGCGCAGGCGGUUGUGCAAGACCGAUGUGAAAUCCCCGAGCUUAACUUGGGAAUUGCAUUGGUGACUGCACGGCUAGAGUGUGUCAGAGGGGGGUAGAAUUCCACGUGUAGCAGUGAANUCGUAGAGAUGUGGAGGAAUACCGAUGGCGAAGGCAGCCCCCUGGGCCAAUACUGACGCUCAUGCACGAAAGCCGUGGGGGAGCAAACAGGAUUAGAUACCCUGGUAGUCCACGCCCUAAACGAUGUCAACUAGUUGUUGGGGAUUCAUUUCCUUAGUAACGUAGCUAACGCGUGAAGUUGACCGCCUGGGGGAGUA